CGGACGGGUGAGUAAUGCCUGGGAAACUGCCCGAUGGAGGGGGAUAACUACUGGAAACGGUAGCUAAUACCGCAUAACGUCGCAAGACCAAAGAGGGGGACCUUCGGGCCUCUUGCCAUCGGAUGUGCCCAGAUGGGAUUAGCUAGUAGGUGGGGUAACGGCUCACCUAGGCGACGAUCCCUAGCUGGUCUGAGAGGAUGACCAGCCACACUGGAACUGAGACACGGUCCAG
rnacentral:rRNA from 1 species